UUUCCAGAACAUGUACAACAUGCUCCUAGUGGGCCUGGGGAUGGUUGAGGGUGGGUAGCGCAGUAAGACAGUUACUGUUACUUCAGUUUUCUUUCAGGUCUUCUGGUUGAGUGAGGAAGAGGUUUCAGUUUGGUGAUGGCAACGUCCUUAAGACUUCACUUGCUUCCCUCUCUCUGUUCUUUUGAGAGCGGGUCUCCACCAAGCAUUUUAGCAGGGUCUCACUCUGUCACCCCAGGCUGGAGUGCAGUGGCAGGAUGGCAGCUCACUGCAGCCUCGACCACCCUGGCUCAAGCUAUCCUCCCACCUCAGCCUAAGAGAAACUCUUGGAACGGAAAACCAAAUACCACAUAUCCUCAGUUAUAAGUGGGAGCUAAAUGAUGAGAACACGUGGACACAAAGAGGGGAACAGCAGACACCGAGGCCUACUUGAGGGUGGAAGUUGGGAGGAGGGAGAGGAGCAGAAAAGAUAACUUUUGGGUACUGGGCUUAAUACCCGGGUGAUGAAAUAAUCUGUACAACAAACCCCCAUGAGAUGAGUUUUCCUGUGUAACACCGAACCUAAAAUAAAA
rnacentral:lncRNA from 10 species